UGAAAUGCCAGCAGUACAGUAAACAAGAGCAAAGAUCAUGCCACCAAAGGCCCAAGCAAUCCCUUGAAUACCAACAGUGGAACAUUUAGUGGGUGCUUUAACAACACCCAUAACAGUCAAAACAGAGAUAUACAAGAACAAGAAAGUCGCUAUGAACUCUGCAAUUCCAGCUCUAUAAAACGACCAUGAAGUCAACUCGCCAGGCUCAAACAGAGGCGCCGGUGGUGGCUCUGUAUAAUCCUUAUCAUCUUGGCUUUGAGCCGCCGUGCCAAUUGGCUGUGUUUCCCUGUACUUGUUAGCUCCCAAUCUAACAUCUUCUUCCUUGCCCUCCAUUGCUACCUGUAGUAAUCUUCUUUCUUUCUUUCUUUCUUUUUUCUUGAACUCAAAAAAUUGCAAGAAAUAGACAGUGAGGGAGUGAUUAGUGACCUUUAGAUAGUGGAGAGUGGGUAUUUAAUGAUGUAUUUUAUAGGAGAAGUGGUGGGACAUAUUUAGUGUAAUUUAUUGAAAUUUGCAAGUUAUCUUGUGGCCGACCAAUCAUUUUCUGGUAAUACUUUCUUUUAUAAGGCCAAUGAAAAUGAAAAAUAAAAUCUAAUUAUUUAACUUUUACAAUUUAAAUCUUAUUCGUAAUUCUUUUAAAAUUUUAUAUGAGAAGUUUGGUGGGUUGUGAAGGGAUAAUCAACUUUAAUAACUUAACCCAAAUAAAUGCUCUUAUAUCUUUCAAUUGUUAGUUAAUAAAAUUUAACAAUUUAAAUUGAAAGACUUAUAAUAUAUUUUUUUUGAAAAAUAGGAGUCAUAUAAAUUUUUUAAUAAAUUCAAUAUACAACAUCAUUUUUAAAUUAAAUUAAUUGUAUAGUAAUAUUAUAAUUUUAUUUAUUAGUUGUUAUAUUUUUAUUGAUUGAUUUAAUUAUUAUCAUUAAUAAAUUAUUAUUAAAAUCAAACCGAUAAAAAUGUAAUAACUAAUAAAUAAAAACACAUAUAAUUAUACAAUUAGUUUAGUAUAUAAAUUAUUAAUAUAUAUAAAUUUUAUAUUAAGAAAUUAUAUCAUAUAUCGAAACAAAAAGAAUUUAACAAGAUUUAAUAUAUGAGCAGAGAAUGCUAUAAAAAAAUACAUUUGAGUAGAGGUGUUGACAAUAAAAAUUGAAAUUAAAUAAUAUAGCCAUGAUCUAAUUAGUUUGAUAAUCAAAAUAUUUACAAAAUCUAAAGGAUAUUGCUAAAACAUAAAACCAUGGAAAUGUUAACAUUCGAGUUAGUAGCAAAAAAUUUUAUGAAAAGAAUGGACGAAAUUGGCCUGUCAAAUAUUGUUUGGUGAAAACGACAGAGUUGUAUAGUGCAUUUCAUAGUUGGCGAAAGGGUGGCCACAUGUAUAAAAAUGAUGAUGUUGAUGAAGCCACCGCCCAUCUUUCAAUAAUGGAAUUGAAGAGGUUGAGAAGUGGAGCUUUGUGUUUUGAAAAAGUUAAAAUGGAAAAAAUCAUAUACAUAGAAAAUUGAUUAGAAUUUUGACUUUGUUGGCACGGAAUAUUGGGAAUUCUUUUAGCACCUAAAAUAAAACAAAAGUGUCCUUCUUUUAAUUCUAUUUUCCUGUCCCGAAUUUAUGGUGUUUAUGAGUCUGAAUAUUCUGUCCAAAUCUUUCUAAGAAUUUUUAGGUUUUACACAAGAAUAUUCACCCUCGAGUCUAAAUCCGAAAAGCCUUAAUUAUUUUUUAAAUAAAUUUAAAAACAUUAUUUAUUGUAUCUCAUUCUACAAAUUUAAUUUAACUUGAAAAUUAUAAAAUAAAUCAUUUUAUAAUUUUUAUGACGAGUUAAAUUUGAUUAAAAUCUUAAAUUUAUAUAUUUUGAGUCUAAAUCAUACUUGAACUUAAGUUUAAAAAAUUUUAAGCCAGACUAAGUCGUGCUCGAACUUUAAAUAUAUAUAAACUAUUUUGUCAUGAUUUAACAAUAGCCACCUAAUAUAAUAAGAAAUAUUCCCUAUAUAUCUAUAGCUAUUUUCGUAGGUAGUAAUUGAUUUAUCAAAUAUAUAUAUGUAUUAUAGCAUAUAUUUUAUAUUAUUAUACAGAGUCUCAUUUUUAUUUAUUUAAAUAUAAUCCAAUCAGAUUCAAAUGUCUAAAAAGUAUAACAGCCUAAAUAAAUAUGAAUACCUUAAAAAAACUAAUUACUUUUUGGAGUUCUUUUUGGAUUCUAGUCAUUGGUUAUUUCUCAAUUCUAUCACUGCCAAAAAGAUUGGACAUGAGAAUUUCUUCUCAUUCAACUCCUCACAGAUGAAAAAUAUAUAUACGUUCAAUUAAUAAUCAUAUCAAAUUAAGAAUUCUUUAAGAUGUCAUUUAAUUUAUUUAUUUAAAUUAAUUUAUUUCUAAUCUAUUUAUUAAAUUAUCUUUAUUUUAUUAGAUUUUAAUAAAAAAUUUGUUGCAGUUUUGAACAUUAAAAUAACAAAUUAAUAAAAUGGUUCAAUUUUGAUUAGAAACAAUUUUUAUCAUGAUUUGUAUGAUAAAUUGACAAUCUAACUCACUCAAUUAAAGAAAAUAGAAUAUUUUCACUUAAUUAAAGAGCCCACUGGAGCCAGACCCUAAGAGGAACCAUCGACUGAAUACACAACACCCAUGAGAGAAUCAUCAAAUAUGGGUUACCAAUGUUCACAAAAAACACAUGUAAAACAUGGGAGAGCAAUCGAAAUUGAGUUCGAACUAGUUCCUUCUGGUCAAUGGUUGCUUUUCUACCCUGUAUAAUCUGCUACAAGGCGCCACGUGUCUCGUGAUCGGUGGGGACACAUGGGUAACGGAUGUUCACUGAACCACAAAGUUUCUGCCACCUAAGUGCUUUUCUUCUCCAUGACACUGUCGGGCUUUGACAAAAUGUUUUUGAAAACAUUUAUCUGUCGGCUAUGAUUGAAAUCCUUUCUUAUGUACAUGAGAGGUUCAAUGGGUGAACUACAUAAAAGGGUGAAGCUAAUUUUUUUUUUUAAAUAAAAUUUUAUUUAAUAUAGAAAUAAAAACUUAAACUCAAACACCUUUGUCUUAAGAAAAAACAUAAGCUAUUAUUAUAUGAAUUAACUCUCAUGUGUAUUACAAGUAAAUAUCAUAUAUGAUUUUAGAGUGAGCUUUACAGGUUUUCAUGGUAAGAAAACGUAAGAAAAGCUUAUUAAGGAUGAAUUAGUUUCCGGACAAAAUUAUCAAUUUUUUCUUAAUGAUUAUGUUAACAGCUUCCAUGGCACAGCAGCUAAUAAAUAUAUAUUAAAAAUCAAUGGGCUUAUCCUUUUUAUUCUUUAAAAUUUGUCUGCAGAAGAGCCAAUGAUUAUCCCUCUACAACGGUCCACAGAAAAUUGUGAAGCAGACAGGUUGGAUUUGAAUGAUAAUGGAGGAUUUGUGGGAAAUGAUUAUAGUAAUAAUUUAAUUAAUCUAGUUAUAAUGACAUGUACAGAUAAUCUUCUUAUUUUUUUUUAUAAGAAAAAUAAAGAAUAAAACUGUGUAUAUUCUAUAUGCCUUGAGAGAAUCUUUUUAUAUUAUAUAGGUUACAGAAAUGAUUAUCUUCUUCUGGCAAAGACAUUUUUAAGGUUACACAUUUCCCUUUUUUAUAGAGCUUAGAGCAACUACUUUAUAAUAAGAGAGAAUUACAGGGCAAUAAGAAAAUGCCACCUCCAGUGUGGCAUAUUUUAGUCUGUUUUUUAUACUUUCCAAAAUCUUCAAAAGAAAAUAGCUGUUCAAAUUUGUUUUUUUUCUUAUUUUAUUUAAUCAUUGGGAGUUUAAUAACCAAUCAUUAAAUGGGUUCUUUUAUGUUCAUCAUAAACAUAAUAAUUCAUUUAGUAUGUUUAACCGGUUCUCUGAGUAAAUUGAGGAAUUUUUAAGAAGAAAUGGACUCUAAUAAGCCUUUAAUAAAAUCUUAUUAUAGUUUUAGGGCAUACUUAUUUAUUUCCAUGACUGAUAUACAUUCACUUCGUAGCAAAGAAUAAAACUUAAAUCCACUAUUUCUAUUUUUUAAAAAUAAAUGUUUUUUUUUUGUAAUUUAGAUUUAAUUUGUGGGCAAUGAUGUCCCAUGAUGUACUGUCAUUUAUUAUAAGGUUUUUUAUUUCCUAAUGCGAGACUUACCUAAUAUCUACGACAUAAUCAAAAGCGAAAGCUACAAUAACUUUAUGAAAGAAAAGGUUGUGGUUAUCUAGCUGGGUUAGAUGGAUAAGAAACAAUAUUAAUUAUUCAGGUCUGCUCCCUUAUUUUAUCGUAUAGACAAAGACAGCUGCUUGUUUUUGGAGUUAUUUUAAUGUGUCUUUUUCACCCUUUCCCUGUUGCAAAAAAGUAUAAAUACCUGAGAUUGCUUGCUUCCCUUUAUUUUAUUUUAUUUUUAAAUAAUUUAGUACGUCAUGGUAUAUGAUUUUUGCGGAUGAUAAAUUAUAAUUUGAUUAAAGCUUAUAUGCAUUUAAAGAAAUUUUCAAAGAGCUUUCCUUCCAUAAAAAGAAAAAAAGAAGGUCAAGGACAUUGCUAGAAGCAUAAUAACAACUACUAUUAUUACAUGUGCUCAUAUAAUACAGGUGCAGACAGAAGACAAACAGAUAGAAUGAAACAAACUUGAUUUUGAAACAUCAAACGGUCACACAUGGAUGCAUCAUCAUCUUCAGCAUUUCUUGAAAGGAAUGGCUCUGAUCACAACUUGGUGGUAGAGAGCUGCAAGUGCUGCCCCAAUGAAUGGACCCACCCAGAAAAUCCACUGCAGACAUAAACCAAAUAUAUUAAUAAAUUAACAUUAAUAAGAUAGAAGUAACAAAUGGGCAGCACUCAGUUUUAAUUUGACAGUAAAAGAAUUACAUGAUCAUCCCAGCCUUGGUCCUUGUUGAAGAUGAUUGCUGCACCAAGACUACGGGCUGGGUUGAUCCCGGUUCCUGUAAUUGGGAUAGUAGCCAAGUGCACCAAGAAAACUGCGAACCCAAUUGGCAAUGGUGCCAAAAUCUGUCCAUAAGAAUUUUGAUCAUAAUUAGUUAACUACAAUAUAACAUAUAUAAAUAUGAAUUCAUUAAAGUAUAAUAAUGGGUUCUUCCAGCUUUUUAAAGUAACUGAGACUGUGUGAGGAUAGAGGCGAUCGAAAUAAAGAACUUACAGGAACAUGGGAGUCUCUGGCACUACGUUUGGCAUCAGUGGCAGAGAAGACGGUGUAAACAAGAACAAAGGUACCAACAAUUUCAGCACCAAGACCAUCACCUUUGGUGUAACCAGGGUUGACACUGUUAGCACCACCGCCCAACCUAGUGUAGUCAUGACUACCUUCAAAUCCUUUUACUACACCAGCACCGCAUAUGGCUCCAAGGCACUGCAUCACCAUGUAGAACAAAGCCCUUGUCAACGACAACUUCCUCGCCAGAAACAGCCCGAAGGUCACGGCUGGGUUUAUGUGUCCUCCUGCACGACCAUCCCCAACGUCAUAUUUAUCAGUUUUAAAUAUAUAAAAGCAAGAAAUAUACUAAAGUGUUAAACUUAGCGUCGGUAGAAAGUUAGCGUCAUAUUUUAGUUUUGAGCGAAGUGUAAGAACCUGAAAUUCCAGCAGUACAGUAAACAAGAGCAAAGAUCAUGCCACCAAAGGCCCAAGCAAUCCCUUGAAUACCAACAGUGGAGCAUUUAGUGGGUGCUUUAACAACACCCAUAACAGUCAAAACAGAGAUAUACAAGAACAAGAAAGUCGCUAUGAACUCUGCAAUUCCAGCUCUAUAAAACGACCAUGAAGUCAACUCGCCAGGCUCAAACAGAGGCGCCGGUGGUGGCUCUGUAUAAUCCUUAUCAUCUUGGCUUUGAGCAGCCGUUCCAAUCGGCUGCGUUUCCCUGUACUUGUUAGCUCCCAAUCUAACAUCUU
rnacentral:lncRNA from 1 species